rnacentral:rRNA from 1 species
UCUUCAUAUGCCGUUGUAUUUAAUCAAAUUAUGAUGUAAAGAUUAAUUGGAAUUGGUUUAUUUUGUUGGGGCGACAAAAGUAUAAUUUCUUGGGUAACUGCUAUUAAUUUUAUACAGUAAUAGCUGAAGUAAGUUUAAAAGAUCCUUAUUAAAGAUUCAAAAAUCAAGUU